GGAAGGAUCAUUAACAAAUUCCAAAACUCGUGUUUGACCCUGCAAAGUCCUUUAAUUGGUAUCUUUUUGGUGCAAGCCAUUGGUACUAAUUUUGGAUGGAGCAUCGUCAUUACAAACACAAAACUAACAUUUAAACAUUGACAACAAAUGGAGAACCAACCAAAAAUCGUUAAUCGAAAACAACUUUUAACAAUGAUCUCUCGGCUCUUGCAACGAUGAAGAACGCAGCGAACUGCGAAACGUGAUGUGAACUGCACUCUUCGUGAAUCAUCCAAUCUUUGAACGCACUUUGCACCUUGUGGCUUUUGUCACAAGGUAUACUUGUUUGAGUAUCCGAAACAUCUCACCUCCCCUUCGGGGCGAAGUAGACUUGAGAUUCGAUGAGUUUGUUUGUUCUACCUUAAUCGGUUAAUGAGCGAGCGAGUCGUCUCUUUAAAUGUGGUGGUCGUUUGUGGGAGGUCUCCGCCUGGAGCCUGACAGACUAUUGGGAUAACAUCCUAACGAUCGUCUGUCGGUUCAUUUUUAGGCGUUGACUGACCGUGACCAACUUUGGAAACACUUUGUCAUUAUUGUAAUAGAUGAUGAUGACGCGAAUCCACGUUGUAUGUAUCGAUAUGCAAAUAUCAAUUCUCAACUGUUAAAUGGAUCUCAAAUCAAGUAAGGAUACCCGCUGAACUUAAGCAUAUCAGUAAGCGGAGGAAAAGAAACUAACAAGGAUUCCCUGAGUAACGGCGAGUGAAACGGGAAGAGCUCAAAUUUAAAAUCUGGCAUCCUUUGGGUGUCCGAAUUGUAAUUGAGAGGGUCUUCUUUUUGGUGAAGGUGAUGGCCAAAGUUCUCUGGAAAGGGACAACAAAGAGGGUGACAUUCCCGUCUGGGCCAUUGCUGGAGUCAGUAUAAAGGAGGCUCUAAGAGUCGGAUUGUUUGGGAAUACAGUCCAAAAUGGGUGGUACAUUUCAUCUAAAGCUAAAUAUAGGCAAGAGACCGAUAGCGAACAAGUACCGUGAGGGAAAGAUGAAAAGAACUUUGAAAAGAGAGUUAAAUAGUACGUGAAAUUGUUAAAAGGGAAACGAUUGAGACCAGUGAUGUGACGGUCCUUGAGCAUACCUUUCGGGGUGUGUGUUUGGGCUUGUCACGAGUCGACGCUUCUUUUAUGCCUUGGAUAAGACGAGAGGAAAGAUGGCUCCACUUUCGGGUGGCUGCUUUAUAGUCCUUUUGGGAUACAAGGUGUUGGGAGAAGACAGUAGGGUCGCAAGACUCACGUCGACGAAAUGGUCUUAAACGACCCGUCUUGAACACGGACCAAGGAGUCUAACAAACUAUGCGAGUAUUUGAGUGGCAAACUCGAAUGCGUAAAGAAACUGAACGCGUGGAUUUGUCUUCUCAAGGGAGGGCAAUGCACCAUGGGCCGGUCCUUGUCUCCGACUUGGAUUGCGCUAGAGCAUAUCUGUUGGGACCCGAAAGAUGGUGAACUAUGCCUGAAUAGGGUGAAGCCAGGGGAAACUCUGGUGGAGGCUCGUAGACAUUCUGACGUGCAAAUCGAUGUUCAAAUUUGGGUAUAGGGGCGAAAGACUAAUCGAACCAUCUAGUAGCUGGUUCCCUC
rnacentral:misc_RNA from 1 species